rnacentral:rRNA from 1 species
GUGGGGAAUUUUGGACAAUGGGCGCAAGCCUGAUCCAGCAAUGCCGCGUGCAGGAAGAAGGCCUUCGGGUUGUAAACUGCUUUUGUACGGAACGAAACGGUCCUGGUUAAUACCCGGGGCUAAUGACGGUACCGUAAGAAUAAGCACCGGCUAACUACGUGCCAGCAGCCGCGGUAAUACGUAGGGUGCAAGCGUUAAUCGGAAUUACUGGGCGUAAAGCGUGCGCAGGCGGUGCUGUAAGACAGGCGUGAAAUCCCCGGGCUUAACCUGGGAAUUGCGCUUGUGACUGCAGUGCUGGAGUGCGGCAGAGGGGGAUGGAAUUCCGCGUGUAGCAGUGAAAUGCGUAGAUAUGCGGAGGAACACCGAUGGCGAAGGCAAUCCCCUGGGCCUGCACUGACGCUCAUGCACGAAAGCGUGGGGAGCAAACAGGAUUAGAAACCCUAGUAGUCC